rnacentral:piRNA from 1 species
UAAGCUGUGAGUCCACAGAGUCGAGUCU